rnacentral:rRNA from 1 species
AUUGAACGCUGGCGGCAGGCUUAACACAUGCAAGUCGAGCGGAGAUGAGGUGCUUGCACCUUAUCUUAGCGGCGGACGGGUGAGUAAUGCUUAGGAAUCUGCCUAUUAGUGGGGGACAACAUUCCGAAAGGAAUGCUAAUACCGCAUACGUCCUACGGGAGAAAGCAGGGGAUCUUCGGACCUUGCGCUAAUAGAUGAGCCUAAGUCGGAUUAGCUAGUUGGUGGGGUAAAGGCCUACCAAGGCGACGAUCUGUAGCGGGUCUGAGAGGAUGAUCCGCCACCCUGGGACUGAGACACGGCCCAGACUCCUACGGGAGGGAGCAGUGGGGAAUAUUGGACAAUGGGGGAAACCCUGAUCCAGCCAUGCCGCGUGUGUGAAGAAGGCCUUAUGGUUGUAAAGCACUUUAAGCGAGGAGGAGGCUACUGAGACUAAUGCUCUUGGAUAGUGGACGUUACUCGCAGAAUAAGCACCGGCUAACUCUGUGCCAGCAGCCGCCGUAA